AUCUUAUUCACCUGAGUACAUUACACCAACACAGCAGAUUUCAUAAAUAUUAGAUUACACUGAUAUCGAAGGAACUAGACUCAGUUCCGAAAUAUCGCUUACUCGAACCGUCCUGACCGCGUAGCUCAGUUGGAAGAGCAUUGGGCUAGUAUUCCAAAGGUCAUAGGUUCGAAUCCCGCCGUGGCCAGGCAUAUUUUUCAAGCCUGCCCAGUGUGGAUAUACACUCAGAGUAACAUCACACAAACAUCUUAUUCACCUGAAUACAUUACACCAACACAGCAGAUUUCAUAAAUAUUAGAUUACACUGAUUUCGAAGGAACUAGACUCAGUUCCGAAAUAUCGCUUACUCGAACCGUCCUGACCGCGUAGCUCAGUUGGAAGAGCAUUGGGCUAGUAUUCCAAAGGUCAUAGGUUCGAAUCCCGCCGUGGCCAGGCAUAUUUUUCAAGCCUGCCCGGUGUGGAUAUACACUCAGAGUAACAUCACACAAACAUCUUAUUCACCUCACCUGAGUACAUUACACCAACACAGCAGAUUUCAUAAAGUGUUACUGCAACAAAUUUUCUGAACCCUUGUUUAUUAGCUUAAAUAAAUAUUCAAUCUUUCAGAACUAGCAAUUUAUCAUGCUUUAUUGUCAUUCUCAG